CUGGCUCAGAACGAACGCUGGCGGCAAGCUUAACACAUGCAAGUCGAACGGACCGUAUACGCAGCUUGCUGCGUGUAUGGUUAGUGGCAGACGGGUGAGUAAUGCAUAGGAAUCUACCUAGUAGUAUGGGAUAGCCACUAGAAAUGGUGGGUAAUACUGUAUAAUCCCUGCGGGGGAAAGAUUUAUCGCUAUUAGAUGAGCCUAUGUCAGAUUAGCUAGUUGGUGGGGUAAUGGCCUACCAAGGCGGUGAUCUGUAGCUGGUCUGAGAGGAUGAUCAGCCACACUGGAACUGAGACACGGUCCAGACUCCUACGGGAGGCAGCAGUGGGGAAUAUUGGACAAUGGGCGCAAGCCUGAUCCAGCUAUGCCGCGUGAGUGAGGAAGGCCUUAGGGUUGUAAAACUCUUUCAGUAGGGAAGAUAAUGACGGUACCUACAGAAGAAGUC
rnacentral:rRNA from 1 species